GAGUUUGAUCAUGGCUCAGGACGAACGCUGGCGGCGUGCCUAAUACAUGCAAGUCGAACGCUUCUUUUCCACCGGACUUCGGUCCACCGGAAAAGAGGAGUGGCGGACGGGUGAGUAACACGUGGGUAACCUGCCCAUCAGCGGGGGAUAACAUUUGGAAACAGAUGCUAAUACCGCAUAGAUGUCAAAACCGCAUGGUUUUGACCGGAAAGACGCUUUCGGGUGUCGCUGAUGGAUGGACCCGCGGUGCAUUAGUUAGUUGGCGAGGUAACGGCUCACCAAGACGAUGAUGCAUAGCCGACCUGAGAGGGUGAUCGGCCCACUGGGACUGAGACACGGCCCAGACUCCUACGGGAGGCAGCAGUAGGGAAUCUUCGGCAAUGGACGAAAGUCUGACCGAGCAACGCCGCGUGAGUGAAGAAGGUUUUCGGAUCGUAAAACUCUGUUGUCAGAGAAGAACAGGGAUAAGAGUAACUGUUUAUCCCGUGACGGUAUCUGACCAGAAAGCCACGGCUAACUACGUGCCAGCAGCCGCGGUAAUACGUAGGUGGCAAGCGUUGUCCGGAUUUAUUGGGCGUAAAGCGAGCGCAGGCGGUCUUUUAAGUCUGAUGUGAAAGCCCCCGGCUUAACCGGGGAGGGUCAUUGGAAACUGGGAGACUUGAGUGCAGA
rnacentral:rRNA from 1 species